rnacentral:rRNA from 1 species
UACAGAGGUCCCAAGCGUUGUUCGGAUUUAUUGGGCGUAAAGGGUGCGUAGGCGGUUGCCUAAGUCAGAUGUGAAAUCUCGGGGCUCAACCUCGAAACUGCAUUUGAUACUGGGUAACUUGAGUACUGGAGGGGAGACUGGAAUUUACGGUGUAGCAGUGAAAUGCGUAGAUAUCGUAAGGAAGACCAGUGGCGAAGGCGGGUCUCUGGGCAACAACUGACGCUGAGGAGCGAAAGCGUGGGGAGCGAACAGG